rnacentral:rRNA from 1 species
CAGUGAUCAGAAGUGAGAAUGUUGACAUGAGUAGCGACAAACAGGGUGAGAGACCCUGUCGCCGAAAGUCCAAGGGUUCCUGCUUAAAGCUAAUCUGAGCAGGGUAAGCCGGCCCCUAAGGCGAGGCCGAAAGGCGUAGUCGAUGGGAACCAGGUUAAUAUUCCUGGGCCAGGAGAUGGUGACGGAUCGCAGAGGUAGUUCUUCCUUAUCGGAUUGGAAGGGCUGCUGAGCGGUUCCUGGAAAUAGCCCUCCACAAGACCGUACCCUAAACCGACACAGGUGGACUGGUAGAGAAUACCAAGGCGCUUGAGAGAACCACAUUUAAGGAACUCGGCAAAAUACCUCCGUAAGUUCGCGAGAAGGAGGCCCCGUUUGUACGCAAGUAUGGGCGGGGGGCACAAACCAGGGGGUGGCGACUGUUUACUAAAAACACAGGGCUCUGCGAAGCCGUAAGGCGACGUAUAGGGUCUGACGCCUGCCCGGUGCCGGAAGGUUAAAAGGAGAUGUGCAAGCAUUGAAUUGAAGCCCCGGUAAGCGGCGGCCGUAACAAUAACGGUCCUAAGGUAGCGAAAUUCCUUGUCGGGUAAGUUCCGACCUGCACGAAUGGCGUAACGACUUCCCCGCUGUCUCAAAUGUGGACUCAGCGAAAUUGAAUUGUCUGUGAAGAUGCAGACUUCCCGCGGUUAGACGGAAAGACCCCAUGCACCUUUACUAUAGCUUCGCACUGGCAUCAGGAUUGUGAUGUGCAGGAUAGGUGGUAGGCAUUGAAACCGGGACGCCAGUUCCGGUGGAGCCAUCCUUGAGAUACCACCCUUCGCACUCUUGAUGUCUAACCGCGGCCCGUUAUCCGGGUCCGGGACCCUGCGUGGUGGGUAGUUUGACUGGGGCGGUCGCCUCCCAAAAAGUAACGGAGGCGCGCGAAGGUUGGCUCAGAGCGGUCGGAAAUCGCUCGUUGAGUGCAAUGGCAGAAGCCAGCCUGACUGCAAGACUGACAAGUCGAGCAGAGACGAAAGUCGGCCAUAGUGAUCCGGUGGUCCCGAGUGGAAGGGCCAUCGCUCAACGGAUAAAAGGUACGCUGGGGAUAACAGGCUGAUGAUGCCCAAGAGUCCAUAUCGACGGCAUCGUUUGGCACCUCGAUGUCGGCUCAUCUCAUCCUGGGGCUGGAGCAGGUCCCAAGGGUACGGCUGUUCGCCGUUUAAAGAGGUACGUGAGCUGGGUUUAGAACGUCGUGAGACAGUUCGGUCCCUAUCUGCCGUGGGUGUAGGAUACUUGAGAGGAGUUGCCCCUAGUACGAGAGGACCGGGGUGAACGUUCCACUGGUGGACCAGUUGUCGUGCCAACGGCAGUGCUGGGUAGCUAUGAACGGACAGGAUAAACGCUGAAGGCAUCUAAGCGUGAAGCCCCCCUCAAAACAAGGUAUCCCUUGAGAGCCGUGGAAGACCACCACGUCGAUAGGCCGGAGAUGUAAGUGCAGCAAUGCAUUCAGUUGACCGGUACUAAUGGCUCC